rnacentral:rRNA from 1 species
UAGUCCACGCCGUAAACGAUGAAUGUUAAUCGUUGGGGUUUUUUAACUUCAGUGAUACAGCUAACGCGUUAAACAUUCCGCCUGGGGAGUACGGCCGCAAGAUUAAAACUCAAAUGAAUUGACGGGGGCCCGCACAAGCGGUGGAGCAUGUGGUUUAAUUCGAUGCAACGCGAAGAACCUUACCUACUCUUGACAUCCAGAGAACUUAGCAGAGAUGCUUUGGUGCCUUCGGGAACUCUGAGACAGGUGCUGCAUGGCUGUCGUCAGCUCGUGUUGUGAAAUGUUGGGUUAAGUCCCGCAACGAGCGCAACCCUCGCCUUUAGUUGCCAUCAUUUAGUUGGGCACUCUAGAGGAACUGCCGGUGAUAAGCCGGAGGAAGGUGGGGAUGACGUCAAGUCCUCAUGGCCCUUACGGGGUAGGGGCUACACACGUGCUACAAUGGCGGUGACAGAGGGAUAAUCCCUAAAAACCGUCUCAGUUCGGAUUGUCUUCUGCAACUCGAAGACAUGAAGUUGGAA